rnacentral:rRNA from 1 species
AAACCAACAGGGAUUGCCUCAGUAACGGCGAGUGAAGCGGCAAAAGCUCAAAUUUGAAACCUUCGGGAUUGUAAUUUGAAGAUUUGGCAUUGGAGAAAGCUAACCCAAGUUACUUGGAAUAGUACGUCAUAGAGGGUGACAACCCCGUCUGGCUAACCGUUCUCCAUGUAUUGCCUUAUCAAAGAGUCGAGUUGUUUGGGAAUGCAGCUCAAAGUGGGUGGUAAACUCCAUCUAAAGCUAAAUACUGGUGAGAGACCGAUAGCGAACAAGUACUGUGAAGGAAAGGUGAAAAGAACUUUGAAAAGAGAGUGAAAUAGUAUGUGAAAUUGUUGAUAGGGAAGGAAAUGAGUGGAGAGUGGUUGCGGUUUCAACCAGCCCUUGGGCUGGCCUAUUGCCAACGCCGAGUCAUUGUCCGCGAGACGGGAGCUAUAAACGGGUUACAUUUGUGUUUCUCACCUACCUCCCCCACUGCAGUCAACGACAUAAUCCACCCAUUUCACC